CCUACGGGGGGCAGCAGUGGGGAAUAUUGGACAAUGGGGGCAACCCUGAUCCAGCCAUGCCGCGUGUGUGAAGAAGGCCCUCGGGUUGUAAAGCACUUUCAGUGGGGAAGAACGCCUGGUGGUUAAUACCCAUCAGGAAAGACAUCACUCACAGAAGAAGCACCGGCUAACUCCGUGCCAGCAGCCGCGGUAAUACGGAGGGUGCGAGCGUUAAUCGGAAUUACUGGGCGUAAAGCGCGCGUAGGUGGCUUGAUAAGCCGGUUGUGAAAGCCCCGGGCUCAACCUGGGAACGGCAUCCGGAACUGUCAAGCUAGAGUGCAGGAGAGGAAGGUAGAAUUCCCGGUGUAGCGGUGAAAUGCGUAGAGAUCGGGAGGAAUACCAGUGGCGAAGGCGGCCUUCUGGACUGACACUGACACUGAGGUGCGAAAGCGUGGGUAGCAAACAGGAUUAGAUACCCGAGUAGUC
rnacentral:rRNA from 1 species